UGAUGAUAGUUCCCUUUAAAUCACAGUUUCCAUCCAAAUAAAGGGAAUUUAAGUGCUUAAGGAAAUGCCAUCAAAUGCAUGUUGUCGUGUUUAAUUUUCCAGUGCAUUAUGUGAGCACUCCUGAUGACCUCAGACCAUCUCAGUGACCAGCACUGCUGACUUUAAGUAAGCUUAUCUUUUUGCAGCAAAAACUGAAGAAUGAAGAACUCGCUCGUCUUGUGGAGGAGAGACGGAGGGAUGCAGAAAAAAAGAAGGAAGAAGAAGAGAAAGAGAGAGCAGCUGUAAGAGAACAGGAAGAGCAAGAAAGACAAAUACGACUGCAACAGGUUCAACGUGCACCAUCCCCUCCUAUCCCUACCCUACAGAAGAAACACCGCAACCCUUCAAAUGCUACAGUAACAAAAACGGAUUUCUCUGUGUUUCGGGCUCUUCCAUCUCCAGAAAACAGAAACAACCAGAGAACAGAGAAGUACAGAAGUGAGGUUGUAAAUGAGCUGUGUGUGUUAAGAAGAUGUCUGCGCAUUGAACAGCGGCAUCUGGAGGAGCAGCUCUUGCAGACGGAGUGGGAUCAUCUCCCCUCCCCCCUCACUGACAGGCACAGGACGGAUGUGUUUGACAUGGCUCGUUUGCGAAUGCCUGUGCAAGGCCCCUCCGCCCGUGGCACUGAGCCAAUCAGCUCAAAGGGAGCUGAUGACAUCAUGUACAGGGAUGCCUUUAUGCCUAGAACACGGCAGUCUAGGAACAGAGAUGUUGAGGGUGGACGAGGAUCUGUGCUUCUGUCAGAAAAUCAGAAUGGACUUGCUUUCCCAGUUCCUCCAGACAGUGAGAGGAAAUCUGCUAAGCUGUCUGCACGAGAGCGACGCAGACUGGCAAACCUUCGGUCUGCAGAGGGGAAGCCAGUGCAGCUGCAGUCCUUCAAUAUGAGGAAGCUCAGAGACACAAACACUCCCAGGAUGAAGAGACUACAAGCCUUCGGCCAUCACAACACCAUAGCAGGUGUGUGUGUUUGUCUUUGUCUCUGUGUAUGUUUUAUGAUUCUGAAGAUGCACAACUUAUUUCAAUUAUGUGUUUAGGAGUCUGCUCUGAUGGCGAUGAUGAAGCAAGUCAUGGUGAUGAGCAUUUUACCCUGCAGUCACCUGGCAGGCCCAGCUCCAUUGAUACUGCCACUACCGAGCCCUGGAUUCGAGCAGAGACAUCAGACACGCUCAGAAGGCUGAUGUCUGGCUCUGAACUUUAAGACGGGCCAUAAUAUACAUGACCGCACAUGCUCAGAGUGUGUGAGCACUUUAUUGCAAUGCAGUAUAUAUAUGAUAUUUUAUGUAGUCUUCAGAUCUCUUAAAUAAAAGACUGAUCAGUGGAAUCUCUACAAGAUCAACUGCUUUAACUGCAUCACAAAAUCUCUUCUGUGAACGGAUUUGUGGAUCCAUGAUAUCAAGUAGUUACUUUUAACAAAAUACAGAGGGAAUGAUACAUUUCUAAUCUUUCUGGGCUUUUUUCGUGGUAUUUUUUUCCAAGACAUAAAUACUUUUUAGCAUUUUGACAGCAUUUUAAAGUGUUUUUACACCAGGAUUCACCAGAGUAAAUAAUAUAUUGAAAGCAACAUAAUCCUGAUUGCUUGGAGGCUUACGGCCUGUUCAAACCAAGGAUGAUAACUAUAAUGAUAAUGUUCUCAAAAUCAUUCAGAAUUUUAAAAUAUUAAAUGGCGAAGUCUACACAUCUACUGUAUGAAAGGGGCACUUUCAGAAUUAUUUUUUUUCCAGUUGAUGAAUGAUAAAAAAUAUUGACAGCCAGUCAGAAUCCAUAUGAUAUUAAAGAGUGGCAUAUGACAUCAGCGCAUGCUUAUAAUUAAGGAGAAACUUAUUGUCCCUUGGUGUGAACACUAAUAUAGUUAUCCUUGGUGUGAACGGCCCUUUAGAGUGAAUGACAUGCGUGAGAGAAGCAUAUUCAUUCUGCACUUAUUUAAACCAUUUCGAGACUGCAGACAAACCACGGCUAACAAAGCCCGGCAAGAUAAAUUCUGCUGCGGCACCGAUACCAUCCAUAAUCCGGCUGACUGCAGAUGGUUUUGACUCCUCUUCUUUAUGCAUUUCUGAUUUUAAGCGGUCAAUCUGCCUCUGCAUCUGGGAGGCUUGCUCCUGUAAGCCCUUCUGUAGAAGAGCGUCCUUCUCCUGCAAUACAACACAAACAGCCACAAGUGAAAGAAUUGCUAAGUGACUUUGACCUUUGAAGGUGACUUCUCUGGAACAAAGUAAAAGUUUUGAAAGAAAGUAUCCUGUUCUUACUCUUAGUUUGGCUUCCAGGACUCGUUGAUUGUCUCUUCUCAUUCUCUCCUGCUCUCUUUCCAUCUGACUAAUGAUCUGAUUCACAUGUUCCUUAUGGGUCUCUGCAUGUCUUUAAACGCCUGCUCCUGUAAGCAGUUCUGUUCCUCUAGACCUCUUUGCCGCUGCUCCAGAAUCUCAUUCUUCAACCUCUGCACUGUAUAAUGAAAGAGAGACAGUAUAAUGAACUAAUUCUGAUGUAGACUUAAGACAAGUGGAAAAUCAAUUGCUGAGUUUGUCUAUCACAGUUCUUUGUUGUCAUUGUACUGUCUUGUGUAUCAUUGAGAGCCUUGACUGAUCGUGGACAGACAGAGAAGUGUGCAGCUGAUUUGAAUUGUACCCUCUUUUUCCUGUUCUGCUGCACUCAGAGAUUGGUCAGCUCCUAGAAUCAUAUUCCCAAUAUCUUCCUUUGCUUUCAAAAACUUGCUCAACACUUCUUCACUCUAUGAAAAAAA
ensembl:lncRNA